rnacentral:lncRNA from 1 species
GACGUAGCGCUUGGCGGCCGUAGUCUUCGUUGGAUGAGAGGUGGAACGAAUAGCUUGCAAUAGUGAAAUCGAUAACUUAGUAACGAUAAGACAAUCGUCUUUAAUUUUUACGCUGUAAAACAAAGUACAGCCACUGUGUUUCAACGUUCAAUGGCGAUCUAUGACAGUUCAUUAAUAUCUUUGUUGUCCUUCGCUCAUGCUGUACGUGAAAUGGGCCACGAAGUGUUCCGAUCAUAAUUUUGAAGUUUGUGUAAUAUUUGGGGUCCACUCGAGCAAAAAAAAGAUGCCUAAGCAUCAACUGUUUAGGAGUCGUAAUCUCCUAUAAAAUUAGGCUGUUGUAUAGAAAUGUUUACAUAAAAGCUGCAUUUGAUUUCGUUGCACUGCUAUAAUAAAUUGUGCUUCAUAGUCAACAAAGCGGGAUCGCACAACUUCCGCGUGGUACCGAUCAGGAGAAUAAUGUGUAACCAGCAAGUAGUUACAGUUAUACGGGACAAAAAAACUGUCAACAGAAAAAACACCGCGCUGUUGAGCCUGCCGUGUUAUAUUUCAACGAGAUAACGAACCUAUAGUAACUUUGCACCAUCGAAAUGGCAUUUCCGCAAAAGAUACUUUUCCCGGCAUCUAUAUAUUACCAUCUAAACAGCAAUGGAAAGGUACCACUCGAAGCCAGCGGCAAAAGAAGAUACCUGACGUCAAGGGCAAGGGCCACUGUAUGCUCUACGAUACGAAUAUACGCCUCUAGCUUUUUCCGUACUUAUCGUCGUAUUGAUUAUAGAACACUGGACAUGAACUAUGGAUCAGCGUUUCUACCGCCCACAGGCAGCAGCAGCAUCAAAAACAAUUUGCAGGAACUCCCUACUCCCUACUUGCAGGAACUGCCUGUUAGCGCCGUGUUCAACUGGAAUUUUUGCCGCUUCAGUCUCUCGAUCAGGCACGUCAGAUGCACUAGCACAUAUAAAGCAUACAGGGCGGUGGCUCUAAAUGAAAAAUUUCAACGUUAAUUUUUCUCCUGAGACUGUUUAUAUAUAGACAAAAAACAGAUAUUUGAAUUAAAAAAAGAGAUAACAGUAUAAUUUCCGAUAGUCAUGUUUGUUCAACGUUAUUGAAAUCCACUACGAUUACAGCUUCAAGUCUAGACCUAAGCCACUUCAGAAUAUUCUUUGUUUGAUCCACAAGUAUUUUUAAUAGUAACCUUGCAUUAAAGCGAUAUUUCCAGAUGUCAACUGGUUAGAGCGUCACUUCAGAUAUGUCAUACACAUACGGAAUGAAGUUUUACCAGUCAAAGGUAGCCACGUUACGACCAGACGCAUUUGGUGUACUGAGAAAUGGAACUAGUUUGCCAAUUGUGGGCAAGUACAGAGUUAAGCCGGAGCUACCCAUACGUCGUGAACUCGUCGGGGGAUCCAAACGUACGGCUGUGCAAUCGAUUCAGCUGGACUAUUUCGGUGACUCCUCUUACUGUAUGCCGCUGUGUUACGGAAAUGCCCCACCAGAGGACGCCAGUUGUACCAAAGUCAUCUCGGUGAUAGCUAACUCGAGCUAUUCGACAGAAGCCAAUUCGAUUCAUCGAUUGUUGUCUCUACACGGUGGCCUUCACUAAAUCAUUGCUUUUUGUUCACCUUGUUUUUUGUUGCAGUAGCGAUCUGCGCCUCUACUGGUAGCCUAGAGUGAGCUUUUGGCUUGCUCAGUGGCCUAUUGGUGAGGCGCAGUGAAGGCUUUUCAACGCGUUUCUUUCGCCAAAACCGCGACCCGCGAGACCUUCUCACGCAUUUAAGCGCUAGCUAGCUAGCUAGCUAGCUAGCUAGCUAUGAAACCCCACAACAAACGAACUUGUGAAUCUAAAGUCAAUAGAGGUGGGCUCUCAACGACUAUAAGCAGAGAACCGUUUGACAUUACCGCCAUUUCGAUGCGGCCGGAAUAGUUGGUUAUCGGCUCAUGCUUGGUCCAUAUGCUGAGUGAUCGAACGUCUUCGGCAAAAUGUUACUACUGUUCUUUAUGAAGAAGCAACAUCUCAGCGGCGAUUGAUAGACGACGGUUUACUCGUUCGCCACAGCGCAAUCACAGCUGUUCAUCGAAUCGGACAAACGCACUUACUUCAGAGUUCCGAAAUUUGCCAUCUAGGAAAGUGUUUAUGGAUCUUCCUUCGUUUUCUCUUCUAUUGCUCGCGUUCACUUACUGGCUGUGUUUCAUUUGUCAUGCUAGUUCUAAUUCUUCCUACUAUCGACUACGUGUAGCCAUUACGAUGAUAUGUCCAUAGGCAACAAUACUCCACCUUGGAGACCUGCUUAAUAAACUCGAAACGUUGCUCUAUUGGGUGCCAUAUGAUACCAUAACUAACCGGGUGACAGACAAAUGAUCUGAUAAAGUAUUAUGUAAAAGAUUCUCAUGCUUAUAGCAAACUCUUCUUUGAUUAUUCAAAAGACAUUUGUCCUAAAGAUCAACUCGACGGUACUUCGAUAAAUAUGGUACGUAUACGACGAAUUAAUGAAGUCGCUGGAAACCUACUAUCAAGCUGGGAUCGUCCAGGGUUGGUUAAACGCUGGUCUCCGAUCCGUUAUCGACGAAGAUGUGUUAGUUUGUUGAUGCCCAGCAUAGGAUUUCGUUCGUCGAUCACCUAAAUACGUCUUGGGAAAGCUGUUCUCAAUGGACAACAUUAGACGUACGUCGGCAGAAAAUCCGUCAGCGAGCUAGUUUGAAAACUUCGAUCGAAAACCAAUUUUCUAUUGGUCAGAACAGAAAUUCCGGGAAAUCAGCCGAUCGGAAAUAGCAAAAGUUGAAAGAUCAAGUCAUUAUAUCGAAUUUGGCUGCUGGAAUAUCUGUCUAGUAAAUUGCUAUGGUCGAGGAAGUUGUGUCAUGGUAAUGCCUAUGGUUACAUGAUUUGAUUUGUAUGUAGGAUGUGAAACGUCAAACAGUGCGUUUAUGUAUACCGAAAUAAAAAAAAAACCAGUCAAGAUUGGACACCUGUAACUAACUGCACCGCUCUGUCAUAAAUAAUGAAAAUAGAAAAUCGAAUUCAGGCACUUCUACGGUAGAUGCGUUUUAUCUAUAAUAAUAUAUUUCAAUAGAUGCAAAAUACACAUUUGUGCGCCGUGGAUGGAUGGGUGGUAUUUGACGAAUGAGAUCGACCGGCGCGCGAUUGGGUGGCUGAAGGUUUCCCUUGCAGCUCAGGAAAUGGCUAAAUAUUAGCGGUAUAGAUUUUUAUAGUUGCAAUACAACAUUUAGACCGCUCUUGUAAC